GCUGCCCCUAGAGGCAUUGCAUGUGUGGCUGCUGUGUCACAUGUGCAUCCGUAGGUGACAGAGAAGCUGUGUCUAUGAGCAGUGAUCUUACCUAUGAACAUCUGAAUGUACAGUACCAUAUCAUU
ensembl:snoRNA Gm24341 predicted gene, 24341